rnacentral:rRNA from 1 species
GAUGACGACGAAAGUCCAAAGCUCCGGCGGCCGCGGAGGGGCCUAUGUGAUAUUGGCUUGUUGGUGGGGUAAUGGCCCACCAAGGCGAAGAUGUCUAGCGGGUGUGAGAGCACGACCCGCGCCACUGGCACUGAUACACUGGCCAGACACCUACGGGUGGCUGCAGUCUAGGAUCUUCGGCAAUGGGCGCAAGCCUGACCGAGCGAGGCCGCGUGGGCGAUGAAGGCCUUCGGGUUGUAAAGCCCUGUCGAGAGGGAGAAAAGCGAAAGCUUGAUCUAUCUCUGGAGGAAGCACGGGCUAAGUUCGUGCCAGCAGCCGCGGUAAGACGAACCGUGCGAACGUUGUUCGGAAUCACUGGGCUUAAAGGGCGCGUAGGCGGGCCACCAAGUCCGGGGUGAAAUCCUCCAGCUCAACUGGAGAACUGCCUCGGAUACUGGAGGUCUCGAGGGAGAUAGGGGCACGCGGAACUGUGGGUGGAGCGGUGAAAUGCGUUGAUAUCCAUAGGAACUCCGGUGGCGAAGGCGGCGUGCUGGAUCUCUUCUGA